rnacentral:lncRNA from 1 species
UUGGAAAUGAGAGACGAUUGGGCAUUAUUAGGGUUCUAGAAAGUACCACAAGGCAACGUUGGACAUAAACUAAACUAACUAAAUAAAAGGUGAAAGAAAACUCCACCACCAAGUUCCCUUUCAUUCAUUUCAUCUCUCCCUGUAAACCCACAAAGCAACUCUCUAGAGAGAGAGAGAGAGAGAGAAAGCUAUAACAGCUUCACUUCCUCAUCCUCUCAUUCCAACUUCUCUCGCACACCAGAAGGCAGCGCCUACAAGGUUUCAACCAAAUCUCCAAAUACCACUUUACAGGUUUCGCUUUCUCUUUCUCUUCAAAUUCAUAUUCAACUACAAACAUCAUUUCUUACAAUUAUUAUUAUUCCACACAACACAACACAACACAACACAACAUAUAAGUUUUUAUUCAUUUCUUCAUUAUACAAUAUAUUCAAUUAUUGUCGUUUCUGUUUCUUAUCUAUAAUAACAAGGGUGCUUAUCUUAAUUCAUUACUCAAUUUACCAAUUUCAAUUUCCUCGUUCUUGUAAGUAAUUCAUUAACUUUUAGCUUCUGUUCUGAAACUGCCUUAUCUUAUUGUUUUUUUUUCUUAAUAUUUUUGCAGCCAGUGGAAUUUCAUAUUUAUUGUCUCUUU